rnacentral:rRNA from 1 species
GAUGAACGCUAGCGGCAGGCUUAACACAUGCAAGUCGAGGGGUAUAGUUCUUCGGAACUAGAGACCGGCGCACGGGUGCGUAACGCGUAUGCAAUCUACCUUUUACAGGGGGAUAGCCCAGAGAAAUUUGGAUUAAUAACCCAUAGUAUGUUAGAGUGGCAUCAUUUUCACAUUAAAGUUCCAACGGUAAAAGAUGAGCAGGCGUCCCAGUAGAUAGAUGGUAAGGUAACGGCUUACCAUGGCCACGAUGGGUAGGGGUCCUGAGAGGGAGAUCCCCCACACUGGUACUGAGACACGGACCAGACUCCUACGGGAGGCAGCAGUGAGGAAUAUUGGACAAUGGGCGCAAGCCUGAUCCAGCCAUGCCGCGUGCAGGAAGACGGUCCUAUGGAUUGUAAACUGCUUUUGUACAGGAAGAAACACUCCCUCGUGAGGGAGCUUGACGGUACUGUAAGAAUAAGGAUCGGCUAACUCCGUGCCAGCCGCCGCGGUAAAAC